CCAGGCAUGUGCCUUGACUGGGAAUCAAACUGUAACCUCCUGAUUCAUAGGUUGACACUCAACCACUGAGCCACACUGUCCAGGUUUUUGUCUCCUUUUAAUGUGUAUUUGGCUUGUUCCUACUUUUUCCCUCCUAUAAUCUUCCCACAUUUCUGCUAGUCUUCUCUUUUUUCUCUAUCUUUACCGUCUUCCUCUAAUACAGUCAGUCUGUCUGCAAUAUCAAGUUGAUGUGAUUUUUGAAAAAAAUUUUGAUCUUUGAAUUUUUUGUUUUGACUAUUUUUAACUCAGAAAAGUUAGAAUAAGUAUUAUAAUGACCUUUGCCUAGAAAUACUAAUUGUAUUAACAUUUUGCCAUGUUUGCUCUUUCUCACUGUCUCUUUUUUCCUAUCUAUCAAGAUGAUUGCUCCUCUGUACUAGCAUAGUAUCUUUU